CUUGUCCUAUGUUGCCAGCGCGUCAUGGCGGGGACUCAUAGGAGACUGCCGGGGUCAACUCGGAGGAAGGUGGGGAUGACGUCAAGUCAUCAUGCCCCUUACGUCCUGGGCUGCACACAUGCUACAAUGGCCGGUACAAAGGGCUGCGAUACCGUGAGGUGGAGCGAAUCCCAAAAAGCCGGUCUCAGUUCGGAUCGGGGUCUGCAACUCGACCCCGUGAAGUCGGAGUCGCUAGUAAUCGCAGAUCAGCAAUGCUGCGGUGAAUACGUUCCCGGGCCUUGUACACACCGCCCGUCACGUCACGAAAGUCGGUAACACCCGAAGCCGGUGGCCCAACCCUUGUGGGGGGAGCCGUCGAAGGUGGGACCGGCGAUUGGGACGAAGUCGUAACAAGGUAGCCGUACCGGAAGGUGCGGCUGGAUCACCUCCUUUCUAAGGAGCUUUCUGGUUGGGUGCUUUGCCUGUAGUGGGUGGGUGCCUGGCGCAGAGCGAAGACCAGUCAGAUGGCUGGUCUGGUGUGCUCAUGGGUGUAGAACGCUGACUUGUUCUGCCGGGUUGGUCUGGUGUUCUGGGUUCCUGUGUGUUCCUGGGGCUGGGUCUUCCUGAACGAUCGGUACGCUGUUGGCUUUUGAGGGAGUGAGAUGCCCUCGUGUACGUCCCCGCCCUGGUUGGCCUGUGGCUGCCGGGGUGGGUGUGCGGGCUGGUUCGUGUGGGAUACCGCUAUCCGUGUUGGGUGGUUGGUCUCACGGGCGCGACUGGUUUCCGUUCGUAGUUUGAGAACUGCACAGUGGACGCGAGCAUCUUUAUCUUUGUGGCCAAGUUAUUAAGGGCGC
rnacentral:sRNA from 1 species